AGCCCUGGAGUAUUAUAUAUGUCAGAUUGCAAAUUUGGAGAAGCCGAUUAGCUGUCGGCCGGGGCUU
rnacentral:tRNA from 1 species